CUUCUGGGCCACAGCCGCAGCAAUGGCGCUGAGUUCCUCUGCUGGAGUUCAUCCUGCUAGCUGGGUUCCCGAGCUGCCGGUCUGAGCCUGAGGCAUGGAGCCUCCUGGAGACUGGGGGCCUCCUCCCUGGAGAUCCACCCGCAAAACCGACGUCUUGAGGCUGGUGCUGUAUCUCACCUUCCUGGGAGCCCCCUGCUACGCCCCAGCUCUGCCGUCCUGCAAGGAGGACGAGUACCCAGUGGGCUCCGAGUGCUGCCCCAAGUGCAGUCCAGGUUAUCGUGUGAAGGAGGCCUGCGGGGAGCUGACGGGCACAGUGUGUGAACCCUGCCCUCCGGGGACCUACAUUGCCCACCUCAAUGGCCUGAGCAAGUGUCUGCAGUGCCAAAUGUGUGACCCAGGUAAGAGGCCAGCACAGCCGGCCCAGCCUCCGCUUGGGCAGCCUGGAUGCCCCCGCACGCUGCACCCUCUCUCCAUGGCCGCAGUGCCCCAGGAAGGCCCCGGCUGCCCCAGGCCAGGUCCCAACCCCAUCUCCAUGGAUGCACCCUGCAGGGGACCCCUUGAGGUCAGCCUCUGGCCCCCGUCCACCUCUGUCUCACCUCUCACUUUGUCACGUGGGCCGCCAGGUGGGCCGUCCUGAGCUUGGCGACUGACCCUUAGCCCUUGUCCUUGGCUCCUCUGGUGCCCUGGGUGGGUGCCCAGACCUCUCCUGUGCCCACGUCCCUAGCUGCAAAGUGGAAUGGGAUGGUGCUGGGACUCUCCGGCCGGCACUCGGGCCUGCUGCUUCCCCACAGGGCUUCUUGUCCCUUUCUCCUCCAGAUAUUGGUUCCCCCCGUGACCUCAGGGGAAGAGGUCACCUGGAGGCUGGUGCCCAACUGAGUCCAGGCAGACAGAAAGGGGAACCAGACCCAGAGGUGUGCCUUUGAGUCACUGAGCACAGAGCCUGUCCAUGCGGCCAAUGGCUCUGUCCCCUUGGAGCCUCAUGCCAGGCUCAGCAUGGCCAGUGCUCCCUGGGGCCAGGCAGGACUGCACCUGCAGGGCAGGGCUGACGGCACACCUGGGGGCAGGGCCUGAGCCUACAGGGAGGCACAGGGCAGGUGGGCUAGCCAUGAACAGAAGAGGAAGCUGGAGUGCUUUGGGGGUUCAUGCAUGUAGGCUGGGAUUUGGGGCUCACACCUCAACCUGCAUGCCCAGUUCCAUGCCCCUCCCCUCUUGUGAAAGCACCUGAUUGGGCUAAGGAUGUGGGGGCACAGGUGGCAGGUGAGGCUGCCCUCAGGAGGGGCCCAGGCCCAGCUUGUACCCCCCCUCCACCAGUACCUGAAGAAGUGGGGCUCUCACCCUACCUGCCUCUGCCAUUGGAAUGGCCUGGUUUGCACAGAUGGGAAGCCCAUUUGAGGGGUGGGUAUCUGGGUGGGCACGUGGGGCGAGGACCUGCCUGAGGGACCCUGCCCUGGAACUGACAGUGCAAGCUCGGCGUCCUGCCCAUCUGGGCAGAAGGCUGGUUUCUCCCAUCAACGAAGCCCUCCCAGGACCUUCCUGCAAGCCCUCGUCCCACACGCAGCUCUGCCGUCCCUUGGUGUCCCUCCCGGCCUCAGGUCCUCCAUGCUGGGUACCUCCGGGCACCUCGUUUGGCUGAGCCAGGGGUUCAGCCUGGCAGGGCGCCCUGGCAGCAGUCCUUGGCCUGUGGAUGCUGUCCUGGCCUGUGGAUGGUGUCCCGGCCUCCACGUACCCCUCUCAGCCCCUCCUCUUGGACUCCAGCCAUGGGCCUGCGCGCGAGCCGGAACUGCUCCAGGACAGAGAACGCCGUGUGUGGCUGCAGCCCAGGCCACUUCUGCAUUGUCCAGGACGGGGACCACUGCGCCGCGUGCCGCGCUUACGCCACCUCCAGCCCGGGCCAGAGUGUGCAGAAGGGAGGCACCGAGAGUCAGGACACCCUGUGUCAGAACUGCCCCCCGGGGACCUUCUCUCCCAAUGGGACCCUGGAGGAAUGUCAGCACCAGACCAACCGAGCUUGGAAAAGUCAGACAGACCUCUGAGGUCUCAUCCUGGAGCUGCCACCAGCCCAGCCUCCCUGGGACCUGUCUUCACUGCCUGGGGCCCUGGGAGCCAGGGAGGCUCCCUGGGGCUGAGUGAACACCGGGCGCUGCACCUGCCUCUCCCACGUCCUCGGCCCCACUCCCGCAGGUGCAGCUGGCUGGUGACGAAGGCCGGACCUGGGACCAGCAGCUCCCACUGGGUAUGGUGGUUUCUCUCAGGGAGCCUCGUCAUCGUCAUUGUUUGCUCCACACUUGGCCUAAUCAUAUGUGUGAAAAGAAGAAAGCCAAGGGGUGAGCACAUGGCGGCCCCAUCAGGGCUCAUGUCCCCAGCCGUCGCCUCUUGGAGCUCUGUCACCCCAAGCCUGGGAGGUGGCCCCAGAGCUUUUCCAGGAUCCGCGGCUCCUCACAGGGCAGCCACUGCAGGCUGGGGCAGGUGGGCUUUCUGCUGUGGCCAGAGCCCAGGUGUCAGCUGGCCUCCCUGGGGGAAGGGAAGGUGGGACCCCUGACCGUGGAGCCCUCAGCCACCCCUGCCCACACACUCUAUGACCCUGUGCUCCUGCCUGCCCCCUGUGGGAUGUGGGGAGCAGGACAGGCUCUGCUCAGCUGGGAGAAGCUCUGGGCUGAGGGUCAACAGCCGCCCUGCUGGGGACAAGGCUUUGUCCUCAUUGAGGAGAGUAAGGCCAUUCAUUCAUUCAUUCAUUCAUCCACCUAUCCGCCCUGGUCUGGGCACCUGUGCUGUGCCUGGCCUCCUGGGCACUGACCCCGCUGUGUGGACCCGGCUGUGGCCCUGGAAGCCCUGUGCGCAGCCCCCGGGGAUGCAGCUUCUAAGCAUUGAGGUCCGAAGGGAAAGUCAGCCCCAUCCUCCAGCCAGGCGGCAGCAAAGCCACCUGAUCCUCACCCGGGGCCUCCAAUGCGGGGAGGUCUCGGGGCCUCAGGCUCUAGGGUAGGCCGGGCAGCAGCUUAGUCUCACCCAACUGGGCACCUGCGGGUAUGGUGGGCAGGGCCUCUCCACUGUGAAGCGCUUGUUCCCCUCCCAUAGAUGACGGCUGAAUUAGGGUUAGUUAUGCACUUGGGGGCCUCAGCUGGGGAGGUGGGCCGGGCGCCCCCAGUCCUAUCACCCAUGCUGGGCCUCCUGGGGACAGGCUGGGCUAGCAGUCCCAACACAGUUGGCCUCCUCUGCUCUCAGAGAGGGUCAGUCCCUUGGGGACGGUCUCCCAGGGAGAAGCAGGAGUUGUGCCUCCGCCACCGCUGUGAGACCAUUGCCAUGAGCCUGUGUCCCCUGAUCAGACACUGCCCCUCCCUGACCUGUGUGUCUGUGUAUUGCAGGUGAUGUAGUCAAGGUGAUCGUCUCCGUCCAGGUAUUGAUCCUCUUCCCCCUCUCCCUCCCCCCUCCACCUUCCCCCCUCCCCCCUCCCCGCUGGGGCUGGUGUUUCUGGUGUACAUGGUGGGGGCUCCCAGUUCUCUGAGGGUCCUGAGUCUUUCAAGUACAGCCACGGUAGCUCAGGAAAGAACCCACUCCCUCAAACUGAAAGCAGUAAAAUGAACCCGAGAACCUGGAGUCCCAGGGGGGCCUGAGCAGGCAGGGUCUCCACGAUUCGUGUGCCCGCAGCGGAAAAGACAGGAGGCAGAAGGUGAGGCCACAGUCAUCGAGGCCCUGCAGGCCCCUCCGGACGUCACCACGGUGGCCGUGGAGGAGACAAUACCCGCAUUCACGGGGAGGAGCCCAAACCACUGACCCACAGACUCUGCACCCCGAUGCCAGAGAUACCUGGAGCGACGGCUGCUGAAAGAGGCUGUCCACCUGGCGGAACCAGCGGAGCCCGGAGGCUUGGGGGCUCCGCCCUGGGCUGGCUUCCGUGUCCUCCAGUGGAGGGAGAGGUGGGGCCCCUGCUGGGGUAGAGCUGGGGACGCCACGUGCCAUUCCCAUGGGCCAGUGAGGGCCUGGGGCCUCUGUUCUGCUGUGGCCUGAGCUCCCCAGAGUCCUGAGGAGGAGCGCCAGUUGCCCCUCGCUCACAGACCACACACCCAGCCCUCCUGGGCCAGCCCAGAGGGCCCUUCAGACCCCAGCUGUCUGCGCAUCUGACUCUUGUGGCCUCGGCAGGACAGGCCCCGGGCACUGCCUCACGGCCAAGGCUGGACUGGGUUGGCCGCAGUGUGGUGUUAAGUGGAUACCACAUCUGAAGUGAUUUUCUGAAUUGGAUUUGAAUUCGG
rnacentral:sRNA from 1 species